ensembl:lncRNA
GCGGGUAAAGGAGGGGAGAGGAAAGGGGGGGGGAAAAAAGUCCUUCGUCCUCAGCGGGAGAGACUUUAAGCGCGGCCCCUCGCUGCCCCGGGGCGAGUGUCGGUGGCCCACGCUCACCCAAACGCGAGGGCAGCCUUACCGCCUCCCUUUGCCCCUGGAAAAGAAAAAAAAGAGGAAAAAAAAAAAAGAAAAGAAAACGCCGCGUGACACCGCUGCACAAACGCACGGCAUCGGCUGUGUCUCACACGGCGGGGAGAUGAAGAUGCAGUCUUUUCCGUGUGGGGGGGCUGAAUAGGAGAGUUAAAGAUUGUUAAGGGCUGAAGGGUGACCGUUGACCGUUGCCCUUCAAAGUCCGCGUGAAUGCCGUGGUGCAGAAAUCCCACCUUGGCAGAAGGGCUUUGUGUUUUUACAGGAGGCAGUGAUGGCAAGCUGCACCCAGCGGGGGUAACGAUUGUUAUUUCUGAGGGAUGCGCAGCCCUAAGCGUUUGGUGGUCAUCCAGGGGUUACGCGUUGUCGCUGCUGGUAUGGCGAACUCUGCUUGCCUCAGGCUUGUCCGGUACUGGCGGGACAAUAACCCUUGCUCUUCAGAUGGUUACUUCUUGCCUUACUGGCUGCUCUGCGUAUGGCUUCCCAUGCUCGUGUCUGCCUCAGAUUAUUGUACUGUUUUUUCUUCCACUGAACGGUAAUAGCUCGGUUGUUUCUCAGAACAAAUCUAAGAAAAAAAGAAACAACAAGAUCACGAGGCUGAAAGAGGUCAGGAGGUCAUCUAUGUCCUCCCCCUCCUUGAAAGCAGGACGCUCAACGCCUAUCUCACUGCUAAGACAUUGGUCUAACCUGUUCUUAAUGACCUGUGAUGAAGACAUCACAGCCUCCCAGGUCCCUGGGCCUGUGGGCUUUCUCCACUUGGUGAAGGAGAAAGUGUUUUUGACACUGAACAUCCUGCUUUGUCUGAGACCUUACGCUACUCCAUUUGCCAUGCAUACCAUGUGUCUCUGUGCAUCCCAGUGUGCCCAUCCCCAACAAGAUGGCAUUUCUCUUGUCAGAGGUCAGACCUGCCACUCUAACUUAAGGUAUAGAAUCACAGAAUCAUUAAGGUUGGAAAAGACCUCCAAGAUCAUGUAGUCCAACUGUCCAUCUACCACCAGUGUUGCCCACUAAACCAUGUCACUAAGUAUUACAAUUAGGUCCUCAAAUUUAAUAAUGUAUCUUAGUAUAUCUAUAUACACACAUAUACAUAUAUAUUAUAGUACAGAUUAUAUUGACACAGCACUUCAACUGAAGAGCUCUCCCACUUAUUGCUUCAUAAAAUAUUAAAAGAAAAUACUAAAAAAUAUUAUUAAAAAAUCUGGUGGUCUUUUAAAGACAAGUGUCUGUACAUUUCAGCAAACUCCAAGCAUAAAAUGAAAGCAGAGUAAACUACACUGGGGAAGUUUGUGUGUAGAUCUGCCGAAUUUUCCAAAGAUAAGUGCUCUUACAUUAGUUUCUCCUUCGUCAGUAUUUUGACAAGUCAACAUAACAACAUCACUCUUUCACUACAGAAAAGUCUCAGUAUUAUCUCACUGGUAGCUUUAUGCCAAACAAUAUGAUAU